rnacentral:misc_RNA from 1 species
UCAAUCAUCAAGCUUGGCUUGUUAUUGGACUCUUUUUAUGAUUGAAAUAUAUCAUAGGUCCGAAAGAUAAUGAUGGGUAUCAUUUGACCCUAAAUGCAACGAGCUUUUUAUAGCACGCAUUGAAGUGGUUUAAAUGACCCGAUCUUAACUAUUAUUUUCUAA